CCCUUAGAUGUUCUGGGCUGCACACGUGCUACACUGGCAGGUUCAGCGAGCUUCAUGCCCUGAUCUGAAAGGAAUGGGAAAUCUUUUCAAAACCUGCCGUGCUUGGGAUAGAUGUUUGCAAUUAUUCAUCUUCAACGAGGAUUGCCUUGUAAGCGCACGUCAUCAGCGUGCAUUGAAUACGACCCUGUAUUCUGUACACACCGCCCGUCGCUCCUACCGAUUGAAGUUUUCGGUGAGUUGACAGGAGGAUUUUUUUGAAACUGGUUCGCCAGUGGAUUUUAGAUCCAAAUGUCAACGAAUCGAUGGCCUUAGAGGAAGGAGAAGUCGUAACA
rnacentral:rRNA from 1 species